UGAAAAUCGUGGAGACGGCCGGUCACGUUUUGUUCUGAACAGAAUUGAAGAUCUUUGAUGAUGAUGAAAGAUGAAGAUCAAUUAUCAUUUGAUUGAAACUUCGAAGACAAGAUGGCUUCAAAAGUUUCUCAUUGAAUGGUUGAUCCCAUGGACCACAACGUCAUGGCAGAUUCUUCGCAUCUAAUGAUUUUACCUGUUCAACUUCUCGCCAACUGUUCGCCUCGAUUUCUGAAACAAGCACGGAUGCAACGGUUCCGAUGUUAUGCCACUCUUCCCUCUGAUUAAUGACGUUCCAGACCAGUGGCUCGCAGAGUCUUCAGAUAAGGAUUCCAGGAUAGUUUCAACAGUCAAUAUUUUGCUGGUAUCCGUGGUUGUCGAAAGAUCCGCGGGGACCAACUCUACAAAGCUUUUGUCCUUCUAACAGGAGAACAUAAUACUCAAUGGAAGGAUGAAUAUAAGUUCUUAAAAAUCUUCUUAUUUCCUAUUCGAAUUCAAAUCAGAAGAAUGCACAGAAUUUACAUCACAAAACAUUAUAAAUUAAAUAAAUUACAAAUUUUAAAUUUCAACAUAAUUUAACACUCAU
rnacentral:lncRNA from 1 species